AUCGAACGCUGUAUGUUUGUUUUGUGCUUUUUGCGAGUACAGUCCAACAGUAAGAUGAAUUAUCUUCACAUUUUUUUACGGUGGUGUGAAGAUCAUGUUUUAUUCAUCUCCCAACAGAGUGUCUUUUGGCAUUCCUCUGCCACCCUUUCGGUGCACUGUGUCCCUUUUUGACAGGCAUUUCCCACUGAGAGGGAUGCAGUGCAGUAUUGCAUUGGGAUUGGUGCUAUAAUGGACUUCUCAAGGUUAAUGGUGCAUGAGAGUGAAAGAGAGGGAGACAUUUCAUUUGUUCCUCCUACAGGGUAUGUUUCAAUGGACACUGUUCUUCUUUGACUAAUAAAUA